rnacentral:rRNA from 1 species
UACAGAGACUGCAAGCGUUAUUCGGAUUCACUGGGCGUAAAGGGUGCGCAGGCGGUCGGGUGUGUCAGAUGUGAAAUCCCGAGGCUCAACCUCGGAACUGCGUCUGGAAACUACUCGACUAGAGUACUGGAGAGGGUAACGGAAUUCACGGUGUAGCAGUGAAAUGCGUAGAUAUCGUGAGGAACACCAGAGGCGAAGGCGGUUACCUGGACAGUUACUGACGCUCAGGCACGAAAGCAUGGGGAGCAAAAGGG